AGAAAAAACAACCUCUUACUUGUGUCUUCGUCUCUCUCUGUGAGGUGCAGGUCCUGUGAAGCAAUCUGCAAAUGAAGAUGCUGAUUCAGAGAAUGCAGGGGUCUACAGCCUGAUCACUUCUGUACCAUCCACAUCUGUACCACCAGGUCCUUUUGAAGAAAAUGGAAAGUCAUCUGAAAACGACAAUUCUGAUACGUACCACGUAUACAGCUCAAUCCCUCAAUCCAGACCAGCAACCUCAGCCCAGCCGGAUGGGUUGUACAGUCUUCUGCAGACACACUGAAACUACACCACUGGCUCUCUGUAUGUCUCACAGAAAUACUCUUUCUUUCAGGAUAUCCUUUAUUUAUCACACAUCAUGUUACUGUAAAUAAGUAUCUAAUACAUCUACUGCAGUGCCGUUUCUAUUUAUAAGCGACAUACAGUAAGCAGCCACUAGAGGCCCCUCCAGAAAAAAACGUAGGAUAGUAGAAUACACAACGUGCAGUUUCGAAAUGUGGUUCUGCAUCAGCAGUUUUURUCUUGUUAUGUCAGUCACUGACAGUCACUCAA